GAAAUUUGAAUAAUAUUAAUAACAUAAGUAAAUAUAAUUUAGUAAUUUACCUCAACCACCGCUUUAGAUUCUUCGUUUGUGAAUUCACAGGUUGAAUCAUUUAAUGUCGGACCCCCACUUCUAGUAAGACCAAAACUGUCACUGUUGCUCUUAUGAUAUUCUUCAAAUAGAGCAAAUAACUUCUCUCUUACUAGUGAACACUGACGAGAGUUAGGGCCAUACAACUUCUUAUAAAAGAAUUCCACAAACUGAAACUUAUAGCGUGGAUCAAAGACCACAGCCAUAGUCAAGAUCAAGCUGAAAUCGGACCAAUACUUCUCAAACUUUGGUAGCAUCUUCUCAGCCAUUUUCUUUAUAUAAACAUCCGAACUAUUGCAACUUUGUCUCAAUGAACUGUAGCACAUGACAACGGGCUGAAAAUACAAAUUUGUUGUAGGAUAAUUGCUACCAGAAAACAAGUUCGAGACAUCGUAGAACAAGCUCAAGAAACCACGAAUCUUCUCAAUUCUAUCCCAUUCAACUGAAGAAGGACAAUGCUUGUAGUUGGGAUCAACAAGUUGAAAAUUCAUGAAUGCUUUCCUAUAAUAUAGUGCAUUAUCAAGCAUCAAAAAGGUAGAAUUCCACCUAGUAGGGACGUCCUGCCUUAGUCCUCUCUUACUUUGCAAAGAUAACUUGCUUACACAUUCCAAAAAUUUCUGCCUCCUCAUUUGUGAACCCCUCACAUAUUUCACACUUUCACGGAUCUUAACAACAGAAUUUUCAAUAUCAUUCAAACCAUCUUGGACUACCAAAUUGAUAAUAUGUGCACAACAACGGAUAUGGAAGAAUUCACCAUCACAAAGAAGUGCAUUAUUCAAGUUCAACUGUGAGAUCAACAACUCAACAGACACAUCAUUUGCACUAGCAUUAUCCAAAGUCAAAGAAAAUACUUUGUUUUCAAUCCCCCAGUCACAAAGCAUGGAAAACAACUUAUUUGAUAAUGCUACACCAGUAUGAGGAGAUGGCAUCAAAGAAAAAUUCAACACCUUCUUACGUAACACCCAUUCCUCAUCAAUGAAGUGACAAGUAAGAGAAAUAUAACCAUCUGUUGUAAUAGAACUCCAACAAUCAGAAGUCAAGGAAAUUCUACCACAUGCUUUUUGCAAUUCAGACUUAAUCUUCAUCUUUUCUCUUUCAUACAAUUUCAAAACAUCAGCCUUCACUGUAUUUCUAGUAACCAUCUUAAUAUCCCACUUAAGAUACUCAAAAAUAGCUAUAAUGCGUUCAUAUUCAACGAAUCGAAAUGGCAAAUCAUGAACAACAAUAGCAGCACACAAUAACUCCCUAAAGUGAUCAGGAUCAAAUUUUGUUUUACUAGUAGUCAUCAAUUCACCAACAUCAUGUGUAUUCUUCCUUUGACAACCAUCUAAAUGACGUUUCAAGUUUCCAGUUCCACAUUUGCUUGUCACUUUGUAAUAACGAUGCCCACAAUAGACACACACACAUGUUUUGGAACCAUCUGCACUAGUAGUAACUUUAUAGUGAUUCCAACAGCUGACCUCGGUUUUCUUUUGUUCGUUGGGGGCUUAGCUGUAGGAUUGGACGUCCCUAAACCAGUUUCUGCAUCUGUGGCAGCAGAAGGGGCAA
rnacentral:lncRNA from 1 species